rnacentral:tRNA from 3 species
GGGCCCGUAGCUCAACGGCUGGAGCGGCCGGCUCAUAACCGGACGGUUCCCGGUUCAAAUCCGGGCGGGCCCACCA